rnacentral:tRNA from 1 species
GAGUCGGUGGCACAGUGGUAGAGUGCCCGUCAACCACUCAGGUGGUUCGGGGUUCGAUCCCCAGCCGACGCA